CACCACUCGAGAAACUUGCUAUAAAUAUCCUUAACUUUCUUUUAAGAUCCAAAAAUCUAUACUUCUCCUUUUCCCCAAAUUUACUUCUCCACCGUUCCCACACACUCGCUUUUGCUUCAUUUCGCCGUUUCUGUUACCGUUAAUCAACGUGAUCGGAUUUUUUACACUCUUUUCCGGCCGGAUUGUUGAAGUUACAAUGGUCGACGUAGACCGGAGGAUGACCGGGUUGAAUCCGGCUCACUUAGCCGGACUCCGCCGUCUCUCUGCAAGAGCCGCCGCUUCUUCUCCGUCGACUCCGAUGCCUCCUCGGAAUAGUCUCCUUUCGUUCUCCUUUCUUGCAGAUAAAGUUAUAUCUCAUCUAAAGAGCUCUGGUAUUCAGGUUCAGGCCGG
rnacentral:misc_RNA from 1 species